UGGGAUGUAGCUCGGUGGCAGAGUGUCGGCUUAGCAUGUGUGAGGCCCUGGGUUCAGUCCCCAGCACCACUG
rnacentral:tRNA from 1 species